UUCCAGACUCCUACGGGAGGCAGCAGUGAGGAAUAUUGGUCAAUGGUCGGGAGACUGAACCAGCCAAGCCGCGUGAGGGAGGAAGGUACAGAGUAUCGUAAACCUCUUUUGUCAGGGAACAAAGACUGGGACGCGUCCCCGGAUGAGUGUACCUGAAGAAAAAGCAUCGGCUAACUCCGUGCCAGCAGCCGCGGUAAUACGGAGGAUGCGAGCGUUAUCCGGAUUUAUUGGGUUUAAAGGGUGCGCAGGCGGAAUGUCAAGUCAGCGGUAAAAUUUCGGGGCUCAACCCCGUCGUGCCGUUGAAACUGGCGUUCUUGAGUGAGCGAGAAGUAUGCGGAAUGCGUGGUGUAGCGGUGAAAUGCAUAGAUAUCACGCAGAACUCCGAUUGCGAAGGCAGCAUACCGGCGCUCAACUGACGCUCAUGCACGAAAGCGUGGGUAUCGAACAGGAUUAGAUACCCGAGUA
rnacentral:rRNA from 1 species